ACAUGCAAGUCGAGGGGCAGCAUGAUUGAAGCUUGCUUCAAUUGAUGGCGACCGGCGCACGGGUGAGUAACGCGUAUCCAACCUUCCGUACACUCAGGGAUAGCCUUUCGAAAGAAAGAUUAAUACCUGAUGGUAUGAUGAGAUUGCAUGAUAUCAUCAUUAAAGAUUCAUCGGUGUACGAUGGGGAUGCGUUCCAUUAGGUAGUAGGCGGGGUAACGGCCCACCUAGCCUACGAUGGAUAGGGGUUCUGAGAGGAAGGUCCCCCACAUUGGAACUGAGACACGGUCCAAACUCCUACGGGAGGCAGCAGUGAGGAAUAUUGGUCAAUGGACGAGAGUCUGAACCAGCCAAGUAGCGUGAAGGAUGAAGGUCCUACGGAUUGUAAACUUCUUUUAUAAGGGAAUAAAACCUCCCACGUGUGGGAGCUUGUAUGUACCUUAUGAAUAAGCAUCGGCUAACUCCGUGCCAGCAGCCGCGGUAAUACGGAGGAUGCGAGCGUUAUCCGGAUUUAUUGGGUUUAAAGGGAGCGCAGACGGGUCGUUAAGUCAGCUGUGAAAGUUUGGGGCUCAACCUUAAAAUUGCAGUUGAUACUGGCGUCCUUGAGUGCGGUUGAGGUGUGCGGAAUUCGUGGUGUAGCGGUGAAAUGCUUAGAUAUCACGAAGAACUCCGAUUGCGAAGGCAGCACACUAAGCCGUAACUGACGUUCAUGCUCGAAAGUGUGGGUAUCAAACAGGAUUAGAUACCCUGGUAGUCCACACGGUAAACGAUGGAUACUCGCUGUUGGCGAUAUACAGUCAGCGGCUUAGCGAAAGCGUUAAGUAUCCCACCUGGGGAGUACGCCGGCAACGGUGAAACUCAAAGGAAUUGACGGGGGCCCGCACAAGCGGAGGAACAUGUGGUUUAAUUCGAUGAUACGCGAGGAACCUUACCCGGGCUUAAAUUGCAA
rnacentral:rRNA from 1 species